rnacentral:tRNA from 1 species
GCCUCUGUGGCUGAGUGGUCAAGUGCACUGACUCUCAACCUCUAGGUGCUGGGUUCGAAUCCCACCCGGGGCG